rnacentral:tRNA from 2 species
UCGUUUGUCGGCGAACUGGUAGGCGCCGGAACCUGUAUCGUGCUAACAAUUGUGAUGGUGCAGUUCGUGGGCUUCGAAGACCCGAUGAAUGAA